rnacentral:rRNA from 1 species
UUAGGAGUUUGAUCCUGGCUCAGGAUGAACGCUGGCGGCGUGCCUAAUACAUGCAAGUCGAGCGAACAGAUAAGGAGCUUGCUCCUUUGAAGUUAGCGGCGGACGGGUGAGUAACACGUGGGUAACCUACCUAUAAGACUGGGAUAACUUCGGGAAACCGGAGCUAAUACCGGAUAACAUUUAGAACCGCAUGGUUCUAAAGUGAAAGAUGGUUUUGCUAUCACUUAUAGAUGGACCCGCGCCGUAUUAGCUAGUUGGUAAGGUAACGGCUUACCAAGGCGACGAUACGUAGCCGACCUGAGAGGGUGAUCGGCCACACUGGAACUGAGACACGGUCCAGACUCCUACGGGAGGCAGCAGUAGGGAAUCUUCCGCAAUGGGCGAAAGCCUGACGGAGCAACGCCGCGUGAGUGAUGAAGGGUUUCGGCUCGUAAAACUCUGUUAUUAGGGAAGAACAAAUGUGUAAGUAACUGUGCACAUCUUGACGUACCUAAUCAGAAAGCCACGGCUAA